AACGAACGCUGGCGGCGUGGAUAAGACAUGCAAGUCGAACGGGAACUUCAGCUGUAGCAAUACAGUUGAAGUUUUAGUGGCGAACGGGUGCGUAACACGUGGGCAAUCUGCCGAGAAGUGGGGGAUAGCUCGCCGAAAGGCGAAUUAAUACCGCAUAUGAUCAGCUAAGACAUCUUAGCGACAUCAAAGCCGGGGCAACCUGGCGCUUUUUUGAGGAGCCCGCGGCCUAUCAGCUAGUUGGUGAGGUAACGGCUCACCAAGGCUAUGACGGGUAGCUGGUCUGAGAGGACGACCAGUCACACUGGAACUGAGACACGGUCCAGACACCUACGGGUGGCAGCAGUCGAGAAUUUUUGACAAUGGGGAAACCC
rnacentral:rRNA from 1 species